rnacentral:tRNA from 1 species
UCCCUGGUGGCUCAGAUGGUAAAGCAUCUGCCUACAAUGCAGGAGACCGGGGUUCAAUCCCUGGGUUGGGAA